rnacentral:tRNA from 1 species
GGAAGGCUGGCCGAGCGGUUUAAGGCACUGGUCUUGAAAACCAGCGAGGGUGCAAGCCCUCCGUGGGUUCGAAUCCCACGCCUUCCA